AGUGACCGUGCUGGGGGCAAUCAGGGUCUUGGACUGGACGGAUGUCCAGGGGUUCAGGCCACUGCCGGUUUCACCCCACAUGGAAAACAGCACCCAGCCUUGGGCUUUCCUGGUUCAGGAAAAGCCUCUCUGUCUCCUCUCUGGCUCUUAACCAUGCUCCUUUAAGCCCAGGAGUGAGAUGUGUGUCCCGCCAUUGAAAUCUAUCCCUGGGUGCCACCUCUUGGCCCUGCCUCCUGCUUCCACCAGGAUAGCCCACCUGGGGCCAUCCACCCAGAGACCAGGACUGAUGAGCUCCGGAGCAGAGACCUCCGCAUCCUCUGGGGAAGCAGAGGCUGCGGUGCGAGGCUCAUGGAACCAGCCUUCAAACUCCUUUUGUUGAAUCAAACCACCUUUCUGGAGGAUUCUGAACCAAAGCCUGUGGGAAGAGCUGACUUGGGGACUUUUGAGACGCCAUGGAGUUGGUGCUGGUCUUCCUCUGCAGCCUGCUGGCCCCCACGGUCCUGGCCAGUGCAGCUGAGAAGGAGAAGGAAAUGGACCCUUUUCAUUAUG
rnacentral:sRNA from 1 species